UACGUAGGGUGCGAGCGUUGUCCGGAAUUAUUGGGCGUAAAGAGCUCGUAGGCGGUCUGUCGCGUCUGCUGUGAAAUCCCGAGGCUCAACCUCGGGCCUGCAGUGGGUACGGGCAGACUAGAGUGCGGUAGGGGAGAUUGGAAUUCCUGGUGUAGCGGUGAAAUGCGCAGAUAUCAGGAGGAACACCUGCGGCGAAGACGGGUAGCUGGGCCAACACUGACGCUGAUGCGCGAAAGCUAGGGGAGCAAACGGG
rnacentral:rRNA from 1 species